GUGUUUAAUUAUGCAACUUAUAUGUUAAAUUUGGACAAUACCACGAAGAUUAUCAUGCCCUCUGUGCAAGGAUAAUUUUAAAAUUUGUGAUGAAUUUGUUAAUUUU